rnacentral:rRNA from 1 species
GGCCAGACUCCUACGGGAGGCAGCAGUGGGGAAUAUUGCACAAUGGGGGAAACCCUGAUGCAGCGACGCCGCGUGAGUGAAGAAGUAUUUCGGUAUGUAAAGCUCUAUCAGCAGGAAAGAAAAUGACGGUACCUGACUAAGAAGCCCCGGCUAACUACGUGCCAGCAGCCGCGGUAAUACGUAGGGGGCAAGCGUUAUCCGGAUUUACUGGGUGUGAAGGGAGCGUAGACGGUGAAGCAAGUCUGAAGUGAAAGGCGGGGGCUCAACCCCCGGACUGCUUUGGAAACUGUUUGACUGGAGUGCAGGAGAGGUAAGUGGAAUUCCUAGUGUAGCGGUGAAAUGCGUAGAUAUUAGGAGGAACACCAGUGGCGAAGGCGGCUUACUGGACUGUAACUGACGUUGAGGCUCGAAAGCGUGGGGAGCAAACAGGAUUAGAUACCCUGGUAACC